AUGAUUUUGGUAGCACAUAUACUAAUAUUGAAACAACACAGAGAAGAUUCGCAUGGCCCCUGCACAAGGAUAUCACACAAAGUCAUGAUGUGCUCUAUAUUUUU